AUGGAGUAUGUCCCGGAGACGCUCUACCGCAGGCUUAAGAACUACAGUAAUGCCAAACAGGGGAUGUCACUUAUCUACAUCAAUCUCUACACCUAUCAGGUGGGUAGGGCCUUUGGAUGGGAAUCAUCUUCGGUAUUUUGGUCCAGGUCUUGUUGUUCGUGGCCAUCACACUGCACACCAUCUGGCAAAAUAAGCAACCAUGUUGACAUCCUGGCAUCUCUUUGUUCCAUUCUAUUGACUUCAUGUGGAUGUAUGAAGCCCUUUGAGCACAAAUCUUUCUAUGGAAGGACCUUCAUGGGAUUUGGAGUGCUCAAUGGCAUCUCAAUUUGGCUUCUCAAUCAGAGUCUAUGUUUCAACUCUGUUGGUUUCUAUCAGGGCAAGUCGAGUGCAUUGGUUGGAUCUAGAUUCCUGAUAUUGCAUAGGACUCGUCAAAAGUGUCUUCAAAGGUCGGGAAAAAAUGUUAUGAUGCAGAGGGGACAACAUCUUGAAGGGAGCAAUGUUUUGAUACUUGCUUUAUAG
rnacentral:rRNA from 1 species